rnacentral:rRNA from 1 species
GACGAACGCUGGCGGCGUGCCUAAUACAUGCAAGUCGAGCGGACGGAUGGGAGCUUGCUCCCAGACCGUCAGCGGCGGACGGGUGAGUAACACGUGGGCAACCUGCCUGUAAGACUGGGAUAACUCCGGGAAACCGGGGCUAAUACCGGAUAACUCUUUCCCUCACAUGAGGGAAAGCUGAAAGAUGGCAUCUCGCUAUCACUUACAGAUGGGCCCGCGGCGCAUUAGCUAGUUGGUGAGGUAACGGCUCACCAAGGCGACGAUGCGUAGCCGACCUGGGGGGGGGAUCGGCCACACUGGGACUGAGAGACGGCCCAGACUCCUACGGGAGGCAGCAGUAGGGAAUCUUCCGCAAUGGACGAAAGUCUGACGGAGCAACGCCGCGUGAGUGAUGAAGGUUUGCGGAUCGUAAAACUCUGUUGUCAGGGAAGAACAAGUACCGGAGUAACUGCCGGUACCUUGACGGUACCUGACCAGAAAGCCACGGCUAACUACGU